rnacentral:lncRNA from 1 species
AGAAAAGCAGAACACAUGUUCUGCAGCUGAACUUCACAGAGAUGCUGGUUUAAUGAAACAGUGGUAGCCACCUCUUCUAUAACCCCGCAGUAGCAACAAAAUAGAGGCACCAAGGGGAGAAAAAGCCAGAAGAACCCAGAGAGGGUAGAGGAAAUGUCUUCCUCCCCUACAUAUAGCACUGCACACAUACCAAAAACCACUGAAUUUUUCAGCUAAAUGGAUGAAUAUUAUGGAUAGAAAUCUAGACUGUCUAAGGGCAGAUCAGUGAGCUGCAUCUUGGUGAAUGAUCCCUGCAAACCACAAAGUUCUUCCUCUGCUGAGCCAAGUUCUGAGGCAGAAGAUUCAGCGUGCCUUCAGAAUUUCAGAGGCAACCAAGCUAAAAAUAUCAUCUCUCAGAAAUCCUUGCAGACACGGUUCCAGAUGUGACUGAGCUUGGGUAAGUCAUAGGAGACAUUGAUUUGGAAAUAAAUUGGAAGAGAGGCAGAACAUGAGAUCCCAAGUUUCUUGGCAUGGAUGGCAGCAGAAGUGGCAUUCUCCUCAAGGCUGACGUUGUCUUGGUGGCUUCCAGACUGUGGCAGAGUAAGCCUCUCUCUUGGCAACUCAGUUCUGUGGCGUGAUUUUUGGAGUCAUUUUGGAGGCUUAGAGUGUUUCUUUAGCUCCUUC